rnacentral:rRNA from 1 species
AGUGAACGCUGGCGGUAGGCCUAACACAUGCAAGUCGAACGGCAGCACAGUAAGAGCUUGCUCUUACGGGUGGCGAGUGGCGGACGGGUGAGGAAUACAUCGGAAUCUACUUUUUCGUGGGGGAUAACGUAGGGAAACUUACGCUAAUACCGCAUACGACCUACGGGUGAAAGCAGGGGAUCUUCGGACCUUGCGCGAUUGAAUGAGCCGAUGUCGGAUUAGCUAGUUGGCGGGGUAAAGGCCCACCAAGGCGACGAUCCGUAGCUGGUGUGAGAGGAUGAUCAGCCACACUGGAACUGAGACACGGUCCAGACUCCUACGGGAGGCAGCAGUGGGGAAUAUUGGACAAUGGGCGCAAGCCUUACACAGCCAUACCGCGUGGGUGAAGAAGGCCUUCGGGUUGUAAAGCCCUUUUGUUGGGAAAGAAAAGCAGCAGGUUAAUACCCCGCUGUUCUGACGGUACCCAAAGAAUAAGCACCGGCUAACUUCGUG